AAGGGAGAACGCGAAUGGAAGAGAAAUCCCACUUGGAAUCCUAUUUGAAUUCCAAGUGGGAUUUCUCUUCCAUUCGCGUUCUCCCUU
rnacentral:pre_miRNA from 1 species